rnacentral:rRNA from 1 species
UACGUAGGUGGCGAGCGUUGUCCGGAUUUACUGGGCGUAAAGGGCGUGCAGGCGGUUUGUUAAGUGCAGGGUGAAAGCUCCCGGCUCAACUGGGAGAGGUCCUUGCAUACUGGCGAACUCGAGGGAGGCAGAGGAAAGUGGAAUUCCCGGUGUAGUGGUGAUAUGCGUAGAUAUCGGGAGGAACACCUGUGGCGAAGGCGGCUUGCUGGGCUGAUACUGACGCUGAGGCGCGAAAGCCAGGGGAGCGAACGGG